AACUGCACCACUCUUCCUCUACACUGGUUUUGAUGAAUCUCCCCCGCUGUCCUCUGUGGCGCUUCAAGCACAGAGUGACUACCUGGCAUUGAGAUUCUCCAGAAGACUUCACCAAGAAGUUCCCUUCCAGCUGUGAUGAUGGAACGUUUUCUCCCUGAAUGAAGUCCGCACUAAAAAUUUCAGGUAUAGUUUUUACCUUUACGGCUAGGAGCGCCAUCUCUGGACUCCCGAGGAUUUUCUGAUCUCCUAACGCCUAAAGUCUCCAGAGCUGCAGUCAGAAGAAGGCUGAUCCUGACAUCUUGCACACCAGUGUUGGUGUAAGGUGUAUGUUGUUGGUGCGAACCAUCUCAUAACAACACAACAAGGUGAUAGACUGAUCCCAUCCUAAAUCUGAAGCCAGAAUUAUAAAAACCAGAAUAAUUAGACUUACUGGAAGCUGUUUCUUCAUUGCCAUUGCUGAAGUCACUUGGAAAAUUACUUAUCGACUCCCUGUUGAAGCAUGGCCCAUUGGUAGAAUUUUGG